GAAAAUACUUUAAUAUAGUUCAGUCAAUUUGUAAAUUGCCCUCCGAAAAAAGACCUACCGUAAUUUGACAUAAUAAA